rnacentral:lncRNA from 1 species
UCCUCUGUUUGCUGGUCCAUUGUUGCUGUUCUAUUGCCAUAUAUACAUAAGUAUCUUAUAUAGCUAUAUAAAAUAUACAAACCACAAAUGAGGAAAUGUGAUAUUUGUUUUUCUGACCGACUUAACUUUCUUAAUAUGAUCAUCUCCAAUUGCACACAUUUCCUGAAAACAACAUAUUUCUCUAGCACUCCUCUAUUGUUAGAUACCUACAUUGGCCCUAUGACUUAGUCUUAUGACUAGUGCUGCGGUAAACACUGAUGUGCCAGGAUGUCUGUGUUAUACUGGCUUGGACAAACACCCGGGAGCUGAAUAGUUGGUUAAUGCAGAAGAUCCCCUAUAGGCUUUGAGGAGUAUCAGUAUUGAUUUCCAUUGUAGCUGGGUUAGUUUGCAUUCUCACUAACAGUGUGCAAGGUUUCUUUUUGUCAUAUUACUACCACUUGUUGGUAUUGAUUUUUAUAAUUGCUUUCAUUUCCUGAAAACAAUGGAAUGGAAUGGGUUGAAAUGAACUCUUAAUGUAAUAUUAAUUUGCAUUUCUCUGAUGCUCCUUUGUAUUUCAUCUCUUGAAAACUAUUUGUUCAAUUCAUUAGGUAAUUUUUGUUGGAUCGUUUGAUUUCAUUUUUUUAGGUCUUCGUAUGUUCUAUAUAUUAGUGUUCUAUGAGAAGUCAAGUAACUAUUAAAGAUUUUAACGCAUGUACCAA